CAGUGGCCGUGUGAGCGUGAGGAGCUGCCGCCACCGCCUGCUCCUCGUCCUCCUCGUCCUCCGGGGCCCCAGCGUCGUGGGCCGCGCACGGCCCUGGAAGAGACGUCGCCUCGCCUUCAUCCGCCUCUCUCACCGCGCCGCUCCCUCGUCCUGCCCUGCGGGCUCAGGCGGAACCCGGAACGGCCGUCCUCUUCCCCCGCCCUCCGCCGCCGCCUCCUCCUCCUCCUUCUCGGCUUCCUCCUCAGCCCCGGGCCGGAGCGGGGUGUCGGCGGCGGCCGGUUCGGGCGGCGGCGCUUGGCCAUGUCGUGUCGGGGAAGGUAAUGAGCCGCAGAGCCCCGGGGUCUCGGCUGAGCAGCGGCGGCACCAACUAUUCGCGGAGCUGGAAUGACUGGCAACCCAGAACUGAUAGUGCAUCAGCUGACCCAGGUAAUUUAAAAUAUUCUUCAUCCAGAGAUAGAGGUGGUUCUUCCUCUUACGGACUGCAACCUUCAAAUUCAGCUGUGGUGUCUCGGCAAAGGCACGAUGAUACCAGAGUCCACGCUGACAUACAGAAUGACGAAAAGGGUGGCUACAGUGUCAAUGGAGGAUCUGGGGAAAAUACUUAUGGUCGGAAGUCGUUGGGGCAAGAGCUGAGGGUUAACAAUGUGACCAGCCCUGAGUUCACCAGUGUUCAGCAUGGCAGUCGUGCUUUAGCCACCAAAGACAUGAGGAAAUCACAGGAGAGAUCGAUGUCUUAUUGUGAUGAGUCUCGACUGUCAAAUCUUCUUCGGAGGAUCACCCGGGAAGACGACAGAGACUGAAGAUUGGUCACUGUAAAGCAGUUGAAAGAAUUUAUUCAGCAACCAGAAAAUAAGCUGGUACUAGUUAAACAAUUGGAUAAUAUCUUGGCUGCUGUACAUGAUGUGCUUAAUGAAAGUAGCAAAUUGCUUCAGGAGUUGAGACAGGAGGGAGCUUGCUGUCUUGGCCUUCUUUGUGCUUCUCUGAGCUAUGAGGCUGAGAAGAUCUUCAAGUGGAGUUUUAGCAAAUUUAGCUCAUCUGCAAAAGAUGAAGUUAAAGUCCUCUACUUAUGUGCCACCUACAAAGCACUAGAGACUGUAGGAGAAAAGAAAGCCUUUUCAUCUGUAAUGCAGCUUGUAAUGACCAGCCUGCAGUCAAUUCUUGAAAAUGUGGAUACACCAGAAUUGCUUUGCAAAUGUGUUAAGUGCAUUCUUUUGGUGGCUCGAUGUUACCCUCAUAUUUUCAGCGCUAAUUUUAGGGAUACAGUUGAUAUAUUAGUUGGAUGGCAUAGAGAUCAUACUCAGAAACCUUCGCUCACGCAGCAGGUAUCUGGGUGGUUGCAGAGUUUGGAGCCAUUUUGGGUAGCUGAUCUUGCAUUUCCUACGACUCUUCUUGGUCAGUUUCUAGAAGACAUGGAAGCAUAUGCUGAGGACCUCAGCCAUGUGGCCUCUGGGGAAUCAGUGGAUGAAGACGUCCCUCCUCCAUCAGUGUCAUCACCAAAGCUGGCUGCGCUUCUCCGGGUAUUUAGUACUGUGCUGAGGAGCAUUGGGGAACGCUUCAGCCCAAUUCGGGUCCUCCAAUUACUGAGGCAUACGUAACAGUUGUUCUGUACAGAGUAAUGAGAUGUGUGACGGCUGCAAACCAGGUGUUUUUUUCUGAGGCUGUGUUGACAGCUGCUAAUGAGUGUGUUGGUGUUUUGCUCGGCAGCUUGGAUCCUAGCAUGACUAUACAUUGUGACAUGGUCAUUACAUAUGGAUUAGACCAACUGGAGAAUUGCCAGACUUGUGGUACCAAUUAUAUCAUCUCAGUCUUGAAUUUACUCACGCUGAUUGUUGAACAGAUAAAUACGAAACUGCCAUCAUCAUUUGUAGAAAAACUGUUUAUACCAUCAUCUAAACUACUAUUCUUGCGUUAUCAUAAAGAAAAAGAGGUUGUUGCUGUAGCCCAUGCUGUUUAUCAAGCAAUGCUCAGCUUGAAGAAUAUUCCUGUUUUGGAGACUGCCUAUAAGUUAAUAUUGGGAGAAAUGACUUGUGCCCUAAACAACCUCCUGCACAGUCUGCAACUUCCUGAGGCCUGUUCUGAAAUAAAACAUGAGGCUUUUAAGAAUCAUGUGUUCAAUGUAGACAAUGCAAAAUUUGUAGUUAAAUUUGACCUCAGUGCCCUGACUACAAUUGGAAAUGCCAAAAACUCGAGUCUUUAAUUGUAAUGACUUUGUUUUAUCCACAGUUAAGCCUUUUCUCAUUACAUAUUUAUGUAUUUCACUGUCAUGUCAACAUGUCUGCAGAAUCACUGUAUGUAACAAACAGCCAUAUUUAAGACAUGCCUGGAUAAAUAAAAUUGGUAGGAAUGUUUUCUUGCCAUUAUAUUUAA